rnacentral:rRNA from 1 species
GACGAACGCUGGCGGCGUGCUUAACACAUGCAAGUCGAACGAUGAAAGCUAGCUUGCUAGCUGGAUUAGUGGCGAACGGGUGAGUAACACGUGACUAACCUGCCCCUUACUCUGGGAUAACGCUUCGAAAGGAGUGCUAAUACCGGAUACGAGCUUUGAACACAUGUUCAAGGCUGGAAAGUUUUUCGGUAAGGGAUGGAGUCGCGGCCUAUCAGCUUGUUGGUGAGGUAACGGCUCACCAAGGCUACGACGGGUAACCGGCCUGAGAGGGCGACCGGUCACACUGGGACUGAGACACGGCCCAGACUCCUACGGGAGGCAGCAGUGGGGAAUAUUGCACAAUGGGCGAAAGCCUGAUGCAGCGACGCCGCGUGAGGGAUGAAGGUCUUCGGAUUGUAAACCUCUUUCAGUAGGGACGAAGCGAAAGUGACGGUACCUAAAGAAGAAGCACCGGCUAACUACGUGCCAGCAGCCGCCGCGG